CAUACUGUGUUCUAAGCUCUCUCCCAGCUCUGACAUUCUCUGUUCUAAGAUCUCUCCCAGCUCUGACAUUCUGGGUUCUAAGCUCUCUCCCAGCUCUGACAUUCUGGGUUCUAAGCUCUCUCCCAGCUCUGACAUUCUCUGUUCUAAGCUCCCUCCCAGCUCUGACAUUCUCUGUUCUAAGGUCUCUCCCAUCUCUGACAUUCUCUGUUCUAAGGUCUCUCCCAGCUCUGACAGUCUCUGUUCUAAGGUCUCUCCCAGCUCUGACAUUCUCUGUUCUAAGCUCUCUCCCAGCUCUGACAUUCUCUGUUCUAAGCUCCCUCCCAGCUCUGACAGUCUCUGUUCUAAGCUCUCUCCCAGCUCUGACAUUCUCUGUUCUAAGCUCUCUCCCAGCUCUGACAUUCUGUUUUCUAAGGUCUCUCCCAGCUCUGACAUUCCCUGUUCUAAGGUCUCUCCCAGCUCUGACAUUCUUUGUUCUAAGCUCUCUCCCAGCUCUGACAGUCUCUGUUCUAAGGUCUCUCCCAGCUCUGACAUUCUCUGUUCUAAGGUCUCUCCCAGCUCUGACAUUUUCUGAUCUAAGGUCUCUCCCAGCUCUGACAUUCUCUGAUCUAAGGUCUCUCCAAGCUCUGACAGUCUCUGUUCUAAGGUCUCUCCCAGCUCUGACAUUCUCUGUUCUAAGAUCUCUCCCAGCUCUGACAUUCUCUGCUCUAAGGUCUCUCCCAGCUCUGACAUUCUCUGUUCUAAGGUCUCUCCCAGCUCUGACAUUCUCUGUUCUAAGUUCCCUCCCAGCUCUGACAUUCUCUGUUCUAAGGUCUCUCCCAGCUCUGACAUUCUCUGUUCUAAGGUCUCUCCCAGCUCUGACAUUCUCUGCUCUAAGGUCUCUCCCAGCUCUGACAUUCUCUGUUCUAAGGUCUAUCCCAGCUCUGACAUUCUCUGUUCUAAGGUCUCUCCCAGCUCUGACAUUCUCUGUUCUAAGGUCUCUCCCAGCUCUGACAUUCUCUGUUCUAAGGUCUCUCCCAGCUCUGACAUUCUCUGUUCUAAGGUCUCUCCCAGCUCUGACAUUCCCUGUUCUAAGGUCUCUCCCAGCUCUGACAUUCUCUGUUCUAAGGUCUCUCCCAGCUCUGACAUUCUCUGUUCUAAGGUCUCUCCCAGCUCUGACAUUCUCUGUUCUAAGGUCUCUCUCAGCUCUGACAUUCUCUGUUCUAAGGUCUCUCCCAGCUCUGACACUCUGUUCUAAGGUCCCUCCCAGCUCUGACAUUCUCUGUUCUAAGGUCUCUCCCAGCUCUGACAGUCUCUGUUCUAAGGUCUCUCAGCUCUGACAUUCUCUGUUCUAAGGUCUCUCCCAGCUCUGACAUUCUCUGUUCUAAGCUCUCUCAGCUCUGACAUUCUCUGUUCUAAGCUCUCUCCCAGCUCUGACAUUCCCUGUUCUAAGGUCUCUCCCAGCUCUGACAUUCUCUGUUCUAAGCUCCUUCCCAGCUCUGACAUUCUCUGUUCUAAGCUCUCUCACCUCUGACAUUCUCUGUUCUAAGCUCUCUCCCAGCUCUGACAUUCCCUGUUCUAAGGUCUCUCCCAGCUCUGACAUUCUCUGUUCUAAGGUCUCUCCCAGCUCUGACAUUCUCUGUUCUAAGGUCUCUCCCAGCUCUGACAUUCUCUGUUCUAAGGUCUCUCCCAGCUCUGACAGUCUCUGUUCUAAGGUCUCUCCCAGCUCUGACAUUCUCUGUUCUAAGGUCUCUCCCAGCUCUGACAUUCUCUGUUCUAAGGUCUCUCCCAGCUCUGACACUCUCUGUUCUAAGCUCUCUCCCAGCUCUGACAUUCUCUGUUCUAAGCUCUCUCUCAGCUCUGACAUUCUCUGUUUCUAGGUCUCUCCCAGCUCUGACAUUCUCUGUUCUAAGGUCUCUCCCAGCUCUGACAUUCUCUGUUCUGAGGAUCCUCCCAGCUCAGACACUGACACCAUUCCCUCCACUGCCCACUGUAUGACCAAAGUGCCUGAAGCAUCAGG
rnacentral:lncRNA from 1 species